rnacentral:tRNA from 1 species
GCCUUCGUGGUGUAAUGGUUAUCACACUCGGCGCUUAUUCGAGAUUUCCAGGUUCGAGUCCCGGCCAGGGCA